GACAGAGGGGGCAAGCGUUGCUCGGAAUCACUGGGCGUAAAGGGCGCGUAGGCGGGAUGGCAAGUCGGUCGUGAAAUCCUUCGGCCCAACCGAAGAACGUCGGCCGAUACUGCCGUUCUUGAGGGAUGCAGAGGAGACUGGAAUUCCCGGUGUAGCGGUGAAAUGUGUAGAGAUCGGGAGGAACACCGGUGGCGAAGGCGGGUCUCUGGGCAUUUCCUGACGCUGAGGCGCGAAAGCGUGGGGAUCAAACAGG
rnacentral:rRNA from 1 species